rnacentral:rRNA from 1 species
UAGGGAAUCUUCCGCAAUGGGCGAAAGCCUGACGGAGCAACGCCGCGUGAGUGAUGAAGGUCUUCGGAUCGUAAAACUCUGUUAUUAGGGAAGAACAAAUGUGCAAGUAACUAUGCACGUCUUGACGGUACCUAAUCAGAAAGCCACGGCUAACUACGUGCCAGCAGCCGCGGUAAUACGUAGGUGGCAAGCGUUAUCCGGAAUUAUUGGGCGUAAAGCGCGCGCAGGCGGUUUUUUAAGUCUGAUGUGAAAGCCCACGGCUCAACCGUGGAGGGUCGUUGGAAACUGGAAAACUUGGGUGCAGAAGAGGGAAGUGGAAUUCCAUGUGUAGCGGUGAAAUGCGCAGAGAUAUGGAGGAACACCAGUGGCGAAGGCGACUUUCUGGUCUGUAACUGACGCUGAUGUGCGAAAGCGUGGGGAUCAAACAGG